GGACGCUAUGAUACACUCGUGCCUUAUGUGCCACCGAAGCCCCGAAGUGGUCUGGCAUAUACCUUCACAUAUAUGCAAUGGCAAGCCCUUCCGUGUGUUCCAAAGACAAUGCCUACGCCUAGCCACAGCAGCUCCCUCAUACAGACUCCACAAACCAAGAGGCCGUGGAGCCAAAUGCAGGUAAGAGACAAUAAGCAAUAGCACUGGUAUCGACAUUCAUCUAAUUUCUUUUUAUUUCAU